rnacentral:rRNA from 1 species
GACGAACGCUGGCGGCGUGCUUAACACACGCAAGUCGAACGGAAAGGCCAUGAUUUUGUGGGGUGCUCGAGUGACGAACGGGUGAGUAACACGUGAGUAACCUGCCCUCGACUUUGGGAUAACUUCAGGAAACUGGGGCUAAUAACGGAUAGGAGAUCCUGCUGCAUGGUGGGGGGUGGAAAGCUUCGGCGGUUGGUGAUGGACUCGCGGCAUAUCAGCUUGUUGGUGGGGUAGUGGCUUACCAAGGCUUUGACGGGUAGUCGGCCUGAGAGGGUGACCGGCCACAUUGGGAGUGAGAUACGGCCCAGACUCCUACGGGAGGCAGCAGUGGGGAAUAGUGCACGAGGGGCGGAAGCCGGAGGCAGCAACUCCGCGGGCGGGAGGACGGCAUUCGGGUUGUAGACCGGUAGGACCGUUGAGGAUGUCAGCGUGACGGUGAUGGGUAAGGAAGUACCGGCUAACUACGUG